AUUUAAACUUGUGUUAGAUAAGAAAAAAACAUCUGAUAUUUAUUUAUUUGUUGGGAUGGGGGACAGGAGAUUUUCGUUUAUGAAUAUGGUUGCCUGGUAAGAGCAAAACAAAAUUAGGCAUGAUUAGCGACAAAUUAAAAUGAAUAAUGAUGUCCUCUUUCCUUUUUCAUUCCUCAUCUAUUGAUUUAAAAUGACUACUAGCCCAAUCAUGAGUAUUGAAAUUAGCGUUAAUCACUAAUGAAAAUAUAAUAAAAAAAAAAUGUAAAAAAUUAAAAGUUCAAUAAAAUUGUAAAGUUUAAUAAAUAAAAGAAAAAUUGAAAUAAACUAGCAACCUCAAUCAGGCAUACGCCGGAAAGUAAUCUUCAAAACGUUGAUGGUUUUCUGUACCUAAAGAAGAAUCAAAAUUCCGUCUCUAGAAUUUCAAAUAGUUGUCCCUUAACUGUUACUGUCCGUGUAGUUCUUAUAUUCAUCCAGCUUAUCGUCCUACAGAUAUGUCCUACAAAGGCUGUCAUACCAUAAAAACGUUUAUAACAAAGCUCACAUUCUAGUAUAUCUUCAUUCAUUAAUUUAUGAAUGUCAUUUAGACUAAACGACGCCAUGUUUGUUUUGUGCUUCUGCUGUCUAAACCACCUAUUUAAAAAGAAGAGGUGGAAGAGAGCCAGAAGAUCUUCCCAAUGCAAAAAAAUAGAAAUGGACCUCUUCUGGCUCACUACCGAAGAACAAAAAAACACGCCCCAGGGGU
rnacentral:lncRNA from 1 species